UACAGAGGGUGCGAGCGUUAAUCGGAAUUACUGGGCGUAAAGCGUGCGCAGACGGUUGCGUAAGUCAGAUGUGAAAGCCCCGGGCUCAACCUGGGAAUUGCAUUUGAGACUGCGUAGCUAGGGUGCGGAAGAGGGAAGCGGAAUUUCCGGUGUAGCGGUGAAAAUGCGUAGAUAUCGGAAGGAACACCUGUGGCGAAAGCGGCUCACUGGACCAUAACUGACGCUGAUGCACGAAAAGCUAGGGGGAGCAAACAGG
rnacentral:rRNA from 1 species